rnacentral:rRNA from 1 species
GAUGAACGCUGGCGGCGUGCUUAACACAUGCAAGUCGAACGAGAACGGAUUAUAGCUUGCUAUAAUUGUCAGCUAAGUGGCGCACGGGUGAGUAAUGUAUAGGUAAUAUGCCUCUUACUAAGGGAUAACAAAUGGAAACGUUUGCUAAUACCUUAUACUCCUUAUUAACAGAAGUUAAUAAGGGAAAGAUUUAUUGGUAAGAGAUUAGCCUGUAUUGUAUCAGUUAGUUGGUGGGGUAAUGGCUUACCAAGACUAUGACACAUAACUGGUUUGAGAGGAUGAUCAGUCACACUGGAGCUGAGACACGGUCCAGACUCCUACGGGAGGCAGCAGUGGGGAAUAUUGCACAAUGGACGAAAGUCUGAUGCAGCAACGCCGCGUGGAGGAUGACACAUUUCGGUGCGUAAACUCCUUUUAUAUGAGAAGAUAAUGACGGUAUUAUAUGAAUAAGCACCGGCUAACUCCGUGCCAGCCGCCGCAGUAACAC